GUGCACAAGGCUCUGACCUAUGAAUUGACAGCCAAUGCUCUUGUCUCCCCUCUGGCUGCCAAUUCCAUAGGUCACAGGUAUGUUCGCC
rnacentral:miRNA from 1 species